ACAACUCACCUGCCGAAUCAACUAGCCCUGAAAAUGGAUGGCGCUGGAGCGUGGGGACCAUACCCAGCCGUCGCCGGCAGUCAGGGGUGGGGGUGGGGGUGGAGAAAGAAAAAAAAUCAAUAA
ensembl:miRNA Mir6236 microRNA 6236